UGUUUUAGGAAUUAAAAGAAUCCUAAUUUUCAUUUAGUGUCGAUUUUAAAAGUCAAGUUUUUCUGAACAAAAAUAAAGUGCAUUUUAAUUUCUUAGAGAAAAUUUAUGUACAAUAUUUCUACAAUUAAUAGGAUAACUGUUUGACUGGAUAAUGAAAAUCAGUGACGAGGACAAGGACGAAGAUACGGUGAUCCUGGAUGAAAGUCAUGAACCAGAGUGGAAUAAUUCAAGGAGGAGGCAAACAAGUAUUUGUGAAUUUGUGGGAUCGUAUGAUAAAGCCAUCAAAUUAUAUUAUAAGCAAAGUCAUAGAAUUUACUUGAAGAUAAGAUGCUUUGGAAAUGCAUUGAUAGAUGCAAAGCAAUUAGAUGGAAAUUAUAUAAAAGGAUGAUCACAGAACUGUUACUUGAAUGUUUGUCAGCAAGUUCCAACUAAUCUUUACAGAAUUGUCAUAAAAGCAUGGGAAUGAUAAGAAUGUGAAGAAAAGAUAUUAAUCUUUCAGAAAAAAAGAAUCUCUCUAAAGGAAAAGAAAAAUAUGCCCAUAAGAUGAAUUCAGAAACUGUAGAUGCGAUGACAAAUGUAACAUUUGAACCAAAUGAGCUGAUGGAAAUAAUAAUUGGUUGGAUGGACUAGCUGGAAUCAGUUAAACGAAUUCAAUCUUGAUGUCGAUCUCAACACAAUAAGUGAGGAAAUGAUAAGGAGAACGGGUUAUCGCGCAGAGGCUGACAUCAUAAUGACAGAGGAUGGCUAUUUAUUGAUAUAUUUCAGGUGAUAACAGUUCUCUACACUUGCUGCUAAUGCACGAUGUUUUUUUGCAGUUCUGCUGACUAGGUUUGGCAAAGGCAAAGCCCUCGGUAAAAUCUUUAAGAAAUAUUUGGAGGUUACAUCUGGAUAUACAUAUAUGUAUCUGAAUUGAUAUCACUUUUAUCAGAAAAAUA